UUCCGGUUGAUCCUGCCGGAGGUCAUUGCUAUCGGAGUCCGAUUUAGCCAUGCUAGCCGCACGGGUUCAGACCCGUGGCGAAUAGCUCAGUAACACGUGGCCAAUCUGCCCUACAGAUCGCGAUAUCCUCGGGAAACUGAGGUCAAUAGCGGAUACGGACCUCCUCCUUGAAUGGUGAGGUCCGGAAACGUUCCGACGCUGUAGGAUGAGGCUGCGGCCGAUUAGGUAGACGGUGGGGUAACGGCCCACCGUGCCGAUAAUCGGUACGGGUUGUGAGAGCAAGAACCCGGAGACGGAAUCUGAGACAAGAUUCCGGGCCCUACGGGGCGCAGCAGGCGCGAAACCUUUACACUGCACGACAGUGCGAUAGGGGGACUCCGAGUGCGGAGGCAUAGUGCCUUCGCUUUUGUGUACCGUAAGGUGGUACACGAAUAAGAGCUGGGCAAGACCGGUGCCAGCCGCCGCGGUAACACCGGCAGCUCGAGUGAUGACCGAUCUUAUUGGGCCUAAAGCGUUCGUAGCCGGCCGGGCAAGUUCGUCGGGAAAUCUACCAGCUCAACUGGUAGGCGUCCGGCGAAAACUGUUCGGCUUGGGACAGGGAGACUCGAAGGGUACGUCCGGGGUAGGAGUGAAAUCCUGUAAUCCUGGACGGACCACCGAUGGCGAAAGCACUUCGAGAGAACUGAUCCGACGGUCAGGAACGAAAGCUGGGGUCUCGAACCGGAUUAGAUACCCGGGUAGUCCCAGCUGUAAACGAUGUUCGCUAGGUGCGACGCAGACUACGCGUCUGUGUUGUGCCGUAGGGAAGCCGAGAAGCGAACCGCCUGGGAAGUACGUCCGCAAGGAUGAAACUUAAAGGAAUUGGCGGGGGAGCACUACAACCGGAGGAGCCUGCGGUUUAAUUGGACUCAACGCCGGG
rnacentral:rRNA from 1 species